rnacentral:rRNA from 1 species
GACGAACGCUGGCGGCGUGCUUAACACAUGCAAGUCGAACGGUAAGGCCCUUCGGGGUACACGAGUGGCGAACGGGUGAGUAACACGUGGGUGAUCUGCCCUGCACUUCGGGAUAAGCCUGGGAAACUGGGUCUAAUACCGGGUAGGACCACUGCCUGCAUGGGUGGUGGUGGAAAGCUUUUGCGGUGUGGGAUGGGCCCGCGGCCUAUCAGCUUGUUGGUGGGGUGAUGGCCUACCAAGGCGACGACGGGUAGCCGGCCUGAGAGGGUGACCGGCCACACUGGGACCGAGAUACGGCCCAGACUCCUACGGGAGGCAGCAGUGGGGAAUAUUGCACAAUGGGCGCAAGCCUGAUGCAGCGACGCCGCGUGAGGGAUGACGGCCUUCGGGUUGUAAACCUCUUUCAGCACCGACGAAGCGCAAGUGACGGUAGGUGCAGAAGAAGGACCGGCCAACUACGUGCCAGCAGCCGCCGUAA